rnacentral:rRNA from 1 species
UGGGGAAUAUUGCACAAUGGGCGCAAGCCUGAUGCAGCCAUGCCGCGUGUGUGAAGAAGGCCUUCGGGUUGUAAAGCACUUUCAGCGAGGAGGAAGGUGGUGAGCUUAAUACGCUCAUCAAUUGACGUUACUCGCAGAAGAAGCACCGGCUAACUCCGUGCCAGCAGCCGCGGUAAUACGGAGGGUGCAAGCGUUAAUCGGAAUUACUGGGCGUAAAGCGCACGCAGGCGGUUUGUUAAGUCAGAUGUGAAAUCCCCGGGCUCAACCUGGGAACUGCAUUUGAAACUGGCAAGCUAGAGUCUCGUAGAGGGGGGUAGAAUUCCAGGUGUAGCGGUGAAAUGCGUAGAGAUCUGGAGGAAUACCGGUGGCGAAGGCGGCCCCCUGGACGAAGACUGACGCUCAGGUGCGAAAGCGUGGGGCAGCAAACAGGAUUAGAUACCCUGGUAGUCCACGCUGUAAAACGAUGUCGAUUUGGAGGUUGUGCCCCUGAGGCGUGGCUUCCGGAGCUAACGCGUUAAAUCGACCGCCUGGGGAGUACGGCCGCAAGGUUAAAACUC